UUUAAGCCGAUUUUUAAGGCCUGUUUAUACUUUCAACGAUAACUAUAUAACGAUAAAAAGGUAAAAGGCAAUUGUUCAUAGAAAAUAACCGAAAUAAGGGAAUCUCUAAAAGGUUUUGUUCCAAAGACGUUGAAUAUGGAACCAGAAAAUAAUCUUGAUGUUGAUAAAGCAUUAAAACAAGUACAAGAAAAUGACCCUCAACUAACCAGUCUCAACAUGAAUAACAUUAAGAACAUACCUAUACCUACACUAAUAUCAUUGUCAGAAGCUCUACAUAAGAACACACACCUAAAGACGCUGAGUAUGGCAAGCACACGUCUCAAUGACAGAAUUGCAAAAGUAAGUUACUAUACUACUGU
rnacentral:misc_RNA from 1 species